GCCCCGGUAGUUCAAUGGACAGAACGACACACUCCUAACGUGUAGAUAGAGGUUCGAUUCCUCUCCGGGGUA
rnacentral:tRNA from 1 species